ACGUUUGUGUCCUGACACUGCGUGCUAGGUUAUCCGCUUUUGUGUUUUGCGUUCUUGGAACAUGAAUUAUCUCUGAUCUUGUGAAACUCUCUUUCAGACUCUUAAUAUCUUCCAAAUAACUUGCAAAUGCUGGCCAUUCUUCUGGUUCCGAAACCAUCUUCACCAAUUGAGAACAAUCCGUUGCAAACGUAACCUGAAAUUGUCGUAAGUUUCUCAUACAUUCCAUAGCCCAUAAUAGAGCCUCCAUCUCUGCAUGCAAGGGAGUUAGAGUAGCCCGUACAUUCCUUGCUCCCAUUAGUCCCUCAAAUCCUUCUAAAGUACUGAACCAACCCUGACCAGAGAAAAUAUCACCCUCCUUCCAUGACCAGAGGAAACAUGAUCUGUAAUCUAAAAACACAAAGACAUCGGUAUUUUGAAAAUAAAUACAAACUUUUUUUUUUGAAAAAGACGGCCU
rnacentral:lncRNA from 1 species